rnacentral:rRNA from 1 species
AAUGCGCUGAAAGAGGAGUCCCGGCUGAUUAGCUAGUUGGUGAGUAACGGCCCACCAAGGCGAAGAUCGUAGCCGGCCUGAGAGGGCACACGGCCACACUGGCACUGAAAUACGGGCCAGACUCCUACGGGAGGCAGCAGUGGGGAAUCUUGCACAAUGGGGGAAACCCUGAUGCAGCGACGCCGCGUGAGCGAUGAAGCCCUUCGGGGUGUAAAGCUCUUUCGACGGGAACGAUUAUGACGGUACCCGGAGAAGAAGCUGCGGCUAACUACGUGCCAGCAGCCGCGGUAAUACGUAGGCAGCAAGCGUUGUUCGGAAUUACUGGGCGUAAAGAGUGCGUAGGUGGUGUUCCAAGUCUGGUGUGAAAUCUCCCGGCUCAACUGGGAGGGUGCGCCGGAAACUGGAAUGCUUGAGGGUGGGAGAGGUAAGCGGAAUUCCUGGUGUAGCGGUGAAAUGCGUAGAUAUCAGGAGGAACACCUGUGGUGUAGACAGCUUACUGGACCAUUUCUGACACUGAGGCACGAAAGCGUGGGUAGCAAACAGGAUUAGAUACCCUGGUAGUCCACGCCCUAAACGAUGCAUACUUGGUGUGAGCCAUUCAUUUGGUUCGUGCCGGAGCUAACGCGUUAAGUAUGCCGCC